CAUUAGAUAUUAGUUACAGUAUCUGCAUGAAACGUGAUAAGUACUAACAGAAAUCACACUGUGACGUCGGUAUCGCGUAUCAUUACUGCAAUGAAUUGAUAUUUUUGCAACUGAUUUCCUCAUUCAUGACUUAUUUUAUGAACCUGAAGACAGUUGUUCGCAUUUUGCAAUCGAUUAAUCGACACAUCGAUUUUUAAAUUACAAUGUACAAUGUCAAGUUCGUUGAUACCAAUAAUCGAUGACAUCUAGCCUGAUGACACCAAUCUGACUUCAAUGACCUAUAGACGAAAUGAUACUGUUUCUAUCAAAGUAGGUGAAGGUCCACAUCCAUUACUUACGACCAGCACCCAGGCCGCAUGGAAAAUGCCACCGCCAUCAGAUCGAAGAGCACCAGACCCACCACCAAGACCCUCCAUCAAGCUCACGCAACCAAGCCACAUUAGAACAUUCCGCCACUACAACAUUCAGCAUCCGGCCAACCCAUGGCGAAGUCAAGCAUGUACGCUCAGCCACCAGUCCCCAAAUAUUUCGAAGCGUGGCGGGGGGCGGGGGCUGAUAUCCUUAAUCAAAAGACGGAGCGUACUACAUUAAGGAUUAGCGAUAGUUGACCUAUAUAAGCGUCCACCAAUAUCACUAGCAUCAUCCAACAAGCGAGGGCUUCCGGAGCAACCCUAAGAGUAGACAGAUUGGGGCCUAGAGCAACUCAUCACUUUGAGUACCGCCAGCCCUUAAUAGUUUGUCAUCUGAUCCUGUAUAAAUUUUAUUCUGUAUAUUAUAUGUUAUUCUUUAAUGACGAGUGACGCUGUAUAUAUUGUGUAUAAUAUACGUUCGUUUAAACCGC